rnacentral:rRNA from 1 species
UGGGGAAUUUUGGACAAUGGGCGAAAGCCUGAUCCAGCAAUGCCGCGUGUGUGAAGAAGGCCUUCGGGUUGUAAAGCACUUUUGUCCGGAAAGAAAUCCUUGGCUCUAAUACAGUCGGGGGAUGACGGUACCGGAAGAAUAAGCACCGGCUAACUACGUGCCAGCAGCCGCGGUAAUACGUAGGGUGCAAGCGUUAAUCGGAAUUACUGGGCGUAAAGCGUGCGCAGGCGGUUUGCUAAGACCGAUGUGAAAUCCCCGGGCUCAACCUGGGAACUGCAUUGGUGACUGGCAGGCUAGAGUAUGGCAGAGGGGGGUAGAAUUCCACGUGUAGCAGUGAAAUGCGUAGAGAUGUGGAGGAAUACCGAUGGCGAAGGCAGCCCCAUGGGCCAAUACUGACGCUCAUGCACGAAAGCGUGGGGAGCAAACAGGAUUAGAUACCCUGGUAGUCCACGCCCUAAACGAUGUCAACUAGUUGUUGGGGAUUCAUUUCCUUAGUAACGUAGCUAACGCGUGAAGCUGACCGCCUGGGGAGUACGGUCGCAAGAUUAAAACUCAAAUGAAUUGACGGGGUCAUAGCUGUUUCCU